AGGGAAACAUUGUGGAAUAGGGAUGGGGCCGAUCCGAUCCAGUAUCGGUAUCGGGUUCCGAUACUAAAGAAAUUCACGGUUCGGAAAUUUCCGAUCUGACCUGUGAAAAUUUCCGAUC